rnacentral:rRNA from 1 species
CUCGUAGGCGGUUCAGUAAGUCGGGUGUGAAAACUUUGGGCUUAACCCAAAGCGUGCAUCCGAUACUGCUGUGACUUGAGUUCGGUAGGGGAGCAGGGAAUUCCUAGUGUAGCGGUGAAAUGCGCAGAUAUUAGGAGGAACACCGGUGGCGAAGGCGCUGCUCUGGGCCGAAACUGACGCUGAGGAGCGAAAGCGUGGGUAGCAAAC